AUUGAACGCUGGCGGCAUGCUUUACACAUGCAAGUCGAACGGUAACAGGGUGCUUGCACCGCUGACGAGUGGCGAACGGGUGAGUAAUGCGUCGGAACGUGCCGAGUAGUGGGGGAUAACGCAGCGAAAGUUGUGCUAAUACCGCAUACGUACUGAGGUAGAAAGUGGGGGACCUUCGGGCCUCACGCUAUUCGAGCGGCCGACGUCUGAUUAGCUAGUAGGUGAGGUAAAGGCUCACCUAGGCGACGAUCAGUAGCGGGUCUGAGAGGAUGAGCCGCCACACGGGUACUGAGACACGGCCCAGACUCCUACGGGAGGCUGCGGUGGGGAAUUUUGCACGAUGGGCGAAAGCCUGAUCCAGCCAUGCCGCGUGUCUGAAGAAGGCCUUCGGGUUGUAAAGGACUUUUGUCAGGGAGGAAAUCCCUAGUGCUAAUAACACUGGGGGAUGACAGUACCUGAAGAAUAAGCACCGGCUAACUACGUGCCAGCAGCCGCAGUAA
rnacentral:rRNA from 1 species